GGCUCAAGCCUGGAGGGCGAGAGCCCUAUUGUUUUCCUUAGGAUUAUUUGUUAUUAUUAUUAUUAUUAUUAUUUAUUAUUAUUAUUUUUCUUCAAGGUUUCGGGGGCUUUUGGGGCCCUUAACAUGCUUAAAAAGUCUUGAAAAUUGGCACACACAUUGGAACCUGCGGCCAUUAGGGCCGGGCAGAGACUGAUACACGGGCGUGGCACAGGGGCUCUACAGCGCCCCCUGGAAUAUGGAGGGCCAUAUAUCAUACAUACUUGCACGUAGACGUACGAAACUCGGUACACAUAUAGAACUCAUAAAUACAAACAACUUUCGUAUUGCAUAUCAUAGGCUCCGCCCAACAGGAAGUUGGCUAUUUGGGGUUUAUUAUUCAUAUUUGUCGUCAAAGUUGUGGGGGCUUUUGGGGUCCUUAACAUACUCAAAAACUCUUGAAAGUUUGCGCACAAUUUGGAAUCUGUGGCCUUUAGGAGCCUGCAGAGGCUGGGACACGGGCGUGGCACAGGGGCUCUACAGCGCCCCCUGGAACACAGUCAUAAAUGUUGAUGUAUAGCUCACACAUACUUGCACGUAUUAAUAUGAAACUCAGUACACAUAUAGAUCUCAUCAUGCCGAACAACUUGCGUAUUGCAUGUCAUAGGCUCCGCCCAACAGGAAGUCAGCUAUUUAGAGUUAUGUAAAAAGCGCAUGCUCUGGAAUUUGAAAUACUUGUCAUAGGUUUUUUACUCGAUUGCCACCAAACUCGGUCAACAUGAUCUCAAGAGACUGGGGAUGAAAAAUUGCCAGGGGAUUUUUGAUAUCUCAAACGGUUUGCUCGUGGCGAGGCGUUGAAAUUAUGGCGAGAAAUGAGAAACAGGAAGUGUCUAAUACCAUCCACAUACAUUUCCUGAUUUUAAUCAAACUUCAUCAGAUUAUUCUUUGUAUGAUGUCGAUCGCAUAUAUGUGACUAUUAGGAGUCAAAGUUAUAGCGCCACCAACUGGCAGCAGGAAGUGUGUCAUUUUCAAAAUGCUUUGUAUUCAGCAUCUUAUUUUUACUCGAUUUGCUUCAAACUUCAUCAGAAUAAUGUUAAAACACAGCCUAUAUUAAUCUGCUAGGGGGAUAUUGAUAUCUAAAAAUAUUGUUGCCGUGGCAACAUGUCAAACUUGAAUACUUCUCAGGUGAUUUUAAGGCAUAUAACAUACUUAGAAUUUCAUGAAAUUCAGAACACAUAUCAGUAUUUAUGAUAACUAGACACUGGCAAAAGUUCAUAAGAGGGCGUGGAAGAGGCACUCUAUAGCGCCACCUUUUGUCAAAAGUGGGGGGGUUAGUUUUAGCUACAGAUACCAAACUCGGUACAAAAAUUGUUCUUAUCAAGACGGACAACUUUCUAAUUCACAGUCAUCAGCUACGAUCAACAGGAAGUCAGCUAUUUUGAUUUGAAUGUGGAUUUUUUUUUACAUUUAGCUGUGAAUUAAUGCAUACUGCUCAGAGGAGAGUAACACUAUACACACCAAACUUUGUCUACAUGAUGCCAAAACAUUUUAAACAACUUAAAUUGCCAAAGGAUUUUGGAUAGCUUGAACGGUUUUGUCGUGGAGAUUUUUUUAAAUGACAGUAAAAAUGGAAUUAUUAAUUGUCCUGCAUUUUUAAAUUCCAAACACUUCAAAACCUUUUUUCAUACAGAAAAAAAGUC